rnacentral:lncRNA from 1 species
CUAGCCAAUAGAAUUCCAAACCACAGACUCCAAGUCAGUUAUGCUCUUUUCUCAUUCUUGUUGUUGUUUUCACAAAGACACAAAGAAAAGAACGAAAGAUGGUGAUUGAGCAGAAUAGUUACGAAAUUAAAGAUGCAAGCGACAUUCCAGAAGCAGAAUUAAUUUCUCUUGGUGUCAAGUUGAACAUGGAAGGAGAAGAGAAUGAUAAGAAACCUUCCGUCCAAACUGGAUGAACAGCUAUUUCAGCAGCUCCCUAUGGCUUCGUCUCUUCAUUCACGGCAUGCCACGUGGCAGGAACCUGGAGACGCUGAGCAUCAGCCAUGGAUCACGAUGCUCUCUGAACGGGAAGGUGGCCGAGGGGCUCCAACAGCUCCUCACCAUGAGCCAUUCCAUUAUAGGCACUGUGUUGAAGCCCCAGCCACCGAGACCUGAGAGGUCCUAUUUUACUCUGGGUCAUGGGCAGAGAGGAGAAACAGCUGGAAAGAUAAAGCCAGAACUAGGAAAAUGGCCAUAGAAGACCACGGUGAAACUCAUCAAAUAGAACACUUAAAAUAUGUGUAUUUCAUGUUAUGCUAAUUAUUCUGGAUUAACCUGAAUUUUAAAAAUUAAAUUUGAAAAAGGAAACAAA